GUGGGGCGGCAGGGUAGCCUAGUGGUUAGAGCGGGUAGCCUAGUGGUUAGAGCAGGUAGCCUAGUGGUUAGAGUGUAGAGGGGUGGUAGGUAGCCUAGUGGUUAGAGUGGAGGAACAGCAGGUAGCCUAGUGGUUAGAGUGGAGGGACAGCAGGUAGCCUAGUGGUUAGAGUGGAGGGACGGCAGGUAGCCUAGUGGUUAAAGUGGAGGGGUGGUAGGUAGACUAGUGGUUAGAGUGGAGGGACGGCAGGUAGCCUAGUGGUUAGAGUGGAGGUGUGGUAGGUAGCCCAGUGGUUAGAGUGGAGGGGUGGUAGGUAGCCAAGUGGUUAGAGUGGAGGGGUGGUAGGUAGCCUAGUGGUUAGAGUGGAGGGGUGGCAGGUAGCCUAGUGGUUAGAGUGGAGGGGUGGUAGGUAGCCAAGUAGUUAGAGCGUUGGCCAGUAACCGAAAGGUUGCCAGAUUGAAUCCCUGAGCUGACAAGGUAAAAAUCUGUCGUUCUGCCCCUGAACAGGCAGUUAACCCACUUGUUCCCCG
ensembl:lncRNA